UUGAUAUACCUACACUACUUGGAUAACCGUAGUAAUUCUAGAGCUAAUACAUGCUAAGAGGGGGGACGUAAGAACCCCUGCAUUUAUUAGAUACAAAACCAGUGCAUGGGGGGCAACCCUCAUGGAACACAUGGCGAGUCAUAAUAACUGAGCGAAUCGCAUGGCCUUGCGCCGGCGAUGAUUCAUUCAAAUUUCUGCCCUAUCAACUUUCGAUGGUAGUGUAGUGGACUACCAUGGUGAUAACGGGUGACGGGGAAUUAGGGUUCGAUUCCGGAGAGGGAGCCUGAGAGACGGCUACCACUUCCAAGGAAGGCAGCAGGCGCGAAAAUUACCCAAUUGCAACAAGUGCAGAGGUAGUGACAAUAAAUAACAAUACGGGACCCGACAAGGGUCUCGUAAUUGGAAUGAGUACAAUUUAAACCCCUUAACGAGGAACAAUUGGAGGGCAAGUCUGGUGCCAGCAGCCGCGGUAAUUCCAGCUCCAAUAGCGUAUAUUAAAGUUGUUGCAGUUAAAAAGCUCGUAGUCGGAGUUCGGGGACUCCCAUGCUCGGUCUGCCGGAAAGGUGUGUACUAGCAUGGGAUCCCCUCCUUCCAGUCUGCCCCCUCCUGCUCUUAACUGAGUGGGAGGUAAAAGCGUCCCCUCCGCGAGGGGGGGGCGUGGGGCUCUGGAUCUUUUACUUUGAAAAAAUUAGAGUGUUUAAAGCAGGCCCUUAGUGCCUUGAAUACAUUAGCAUGGGAUAAUGGAAUAGGACCGGGCUCCUAUUUUCGUUGGUUUCCGGGGGACCCGGUAAUGAUCAAUGGAGAUGGUCGGGGUGAUUCAUAUUUAAUUGUCAGAGGUGAAAUUCUCGGAUUUAUAAAAGAUGCACUGGUGCGAAAGCGUCUCACAAGGACGUUUUCAUCGAUCAAGAACGAAAGUUAAGGGAUCGAAGACGAUCAGAUACCGUCGUAGUCUUAACCAUAAACGAUGCCGACCAGCGAUCAGGAGACGUUCAAAUUUUAUCGACUCCCCUGGCAGCUUGAGAGAAAUCACGAGUCUUU
rnacentral:rRNA from 1 species